GACCUCCAUUUGGACGUUGCAAGCUCAGAGGAUCACUGAAGAUCGCUGCCAUCAAAGCCCCUGGUUUUGGAGAGCGCAAGACUCAGUACUUGGAUGAUAUUGCCAUCCUUACUGGAGCAACUGUAAUCAGAGAUGAAGUUGGGCUGUCACUUGACAAGGCCGACAAAUCAGUUCUUGGAACAGCUGCAAAGGUUGUCCUUACGAAAGAGUCGACAACAAUUGUUGGUGAUGGCAGCACCCAGGAAGAAGUUACUAAGAGGGUUGCACAGAUUAAAAAUCUCAUUGAGGCUGCAGAACAAGAAUACGAAAAGGAAAAGCUCAAUGAGAGGAUAGUGAAGCUUGCUGGUGGUGUUGCUGUCAUUCAGGUGGGAGCACAAACAGAAACUGAACUAAA